UUUACAAUGGAGAGUUUGAUCCUGGCUCAGGAUGAACGCUAGCUACAGGCUUAACACAUGCAAGUCGAGGGGAAACGACAUCGAAAGCUUGCUUUUGAUGGGCGUCGACCGGCGCACGGGUGAGUAACGCGUAUCCAACCUGCCCAUCACUUGGGGAUAACCUUGCGAAAGUAAGACUAAUACCCAAUGA
rnacentral:rRNA from 1 species